UGUAGUACACUGACAAUAGCACCUUACCUUAUUUGAAUAUUAUGAGGAUGGAUGUAGAAAUGCCUGGAAAAAAAAAGUACAGUGAUCUGCUACUCUGGCUAUAAAACAUCAUUUUACUGUAAUUCCAAAUUGGGGAUGCAGGUGGUUUUUCUUUGUUGGUUUGUUUGAUUGUUUUAGGUGUGUGGUGCUGGAGAUUGAACCCAGGACUUCUCACAAGCUACACCAGUGUUCUCCCACUCAGCUAAGUCCCCACCCAGUAGCAUUCUGGCUUUUUGCUUGUUUUCUUUUGAAUGCCUUAUACCGGAGUGGCAUAAGAAUGAUACACCCAGUUCUAUGCUUGGACACAAUUCACUUUUGUUGGAUUCUGCGGUGGUGGCUUUAUGAUAAUGUUAUCCAAAUAAAAGAUUCUCACAGCUGUUCCAUUCAAAAUUCAUGAGGGGGCAAAAUUAGAAUAUUACUUUGCAUUGAUGUGACCUAUCAUUUUGUCCACCUCUUGUCUAUUCCUAACGUUGGGCAGCUUUGGCACCAGGGUGCUUGGCUGUGCAACCUGAGGUCUUAAGAGUGGAGAAGCCAGGGCAGCCUGGCGGACAAGCUCCUGCGAGUGGGAAUGGAAUGAGGAUCUCAUGGCCCUGAGGUGCAGAGAGAAGCACUGCAAACCGAAUGAGAGCUGUUGUGGCCUGGAGGAGCAGGAGAGUCCUUUCUCCCUUGUGCCUCUCCGUUCUGGGCUGCGUCUGGAGCUCUGCUGGCCGCUCUGUCAGAGCAGCUCACCGAAGGAAGAGCCUCACAUGCAAUGGUCAGUUGAUGCGGAUGCUUUCCUCGCGGAGCUCUCACUACCACCGAGAAGAUUUAGGAGUGGAUCUGACUUCAGAGGAAGACUGUCUUUACCCUGAAGCCCCAGGAAAGAGACACAGCACCCACAAAUCCACCUGGACCAGACAUGCAGAAGUCAACACUUACACUGUCAGAUGGACUAUUCUGAAGCUUUGCCCAUCAGGAUCCACGCCACCACUGUGAUUAAAAAGAAAAUACAAC
rnacentral:lncRNA from 1 species